ACGGAAGGCAGCAGUGGGGAAUAUUGCACAAUGGGGGAAACCCUGAUGCAGCGACGCCGCGUGAGUGAAGAAGUUAUUCGUAAUGUAAAGCUCUAUCAGCAGGGAAGAAAAUGACGGUACCUGACUAAGAAGCCCCGGCUAACUACGUGCCAGCAGCCGCGGUAAUACGUCGGGGGCAAGCGUUAUCCGGAUUUACUGGGUGUAAAGGGAGCGUAGACGGUCUGGCAAGUCUGAUGUGAAAGGCAGGGGCUCAACUCCUGGACUGCAUUGGAAACUGUCAGUCUUGAGUGUCGGAGAGGUAAGCGGAAUUCCUAGUGUAGCGGUGAAAUGCGUAGAUAUUAGGAGGAACACCAGUGGCGAAGGCGGCUUACUGGACGAUAACUGACGUUGAGGCUCGAAAGCGUGGGGAGCAAACAGGAUUAGAUACCCUGGUA
rnacentral:rRNA from 1 species